rnacentral:rRNA from 1 species
UACGUAGGGGGCAAGCGUUGUCCGGAUUUAUUGGGCGUAAAGCGCGCGCAGGCGGUCUCUUAAGUCUGAUGUGAAAGCCCACGGCUCAACCGUGGAAGGUCAUUGGAAACUGGGAGACUUGAGUGUAGGAGAGGAAAGUGGAAUUCCACGUGUAGCGGUGAAAUGCGUAGAUAUGUGGAGGAACACCAGUGGCGAAGGCGACUUUCUGGCCUAUAACUGACGCUGAGGCACGAAAGAGUGGGGAGCAAACAGG